GACGCCAUAGUUUAGUGGUUAGAAUCCCACGUUGUGGCCGUGGAGACCUGGGCUCGACUCCCAGUGGCGUCA
rnacentral:tRNA from 1 species